rnacentral:miRNA from 14 species
AGGACUUCACAACAUGCGAAUA